rnacentral:rRNA from 1 species
GCUUGCUCCUUUGACGUUAGCGGCGGACGGGUGAGUAACACGUGGAUAACCUACCUAUAAGACUGGGAUAACUUCGGGAAACCGGAGCUAAUACCGGAUAACAUAUUGAACCGCAUGGUUCAAUAGUGAAAGGCGGCUUUGCUGUCACUUAUAGAUGGAUCCGCGCCGUAUUAGCUAGUUGGUAAGGUAACGGCUUACCAAGGCAACGAUACGUAGCCGACCUGAGAGGGUGAUCGGCCACACUGGAACUGAGACACGGUCCAGACUCCUACGGGAGGCAGCAGUAGGGAAUCUUCCGCAAUGGGCGAAAGCCUGACGGAGCAACGCCGCGUGAGUGAUGAAGGUCUUCGGAUCGUAAAACUCUGUUAUCAGGGAAGAACAAAUGUGUAAGUAACUGUGCACAUCUUGACGGUACCUGAUCAGAAAGCCACGGCUAACUACGUGCCAGCAGCCGCGGUAAUACGUAGGUGGCAAGCGUUAUCCGGAAUUAUUGGGCGUAAAGCGCGCGUAGGCGGUUUUUUAAGUCUGAUGUGAAAGCCCACGGCUCAACCGUGGAGGGUCAUUGGAAACUGGAAAACUUGAGUGCAGAAGAGGAAAGUGGAAUUCCAUGUGUAGCGGUGAAAUGCGCAGAGAUAUGGAGGAACACCAGUGGCGAAGGCGACUUUCUGGUCUGUAACUGACGCUGAUGUGCGAAAGCGUGGGGAUCAAACAGGAUUAGAUACCCUGGUAGUCCACGCCGUAAACGAUGAGUGCUAAGUG